rnacentral:rRNA from 1 species
GAGUUUUGAAAGAAUUUCGGUGGAGGAUGACUUCGCGGCCUAUCAGCUAGUUGGUGAGGUAAUGGCUCACCAAGGCAACGACGGGUAGCCGGCCUGAGAGGGCGACCGGCCACACUGGGACUGAGACACGGCCCAGACUCCUACGGGAGGCAGCAGUGGGGAAUAUAGGGCAAUGGAGGAAACUCUGACCCAGCGACGCCGCGUGCGGGAUGAAGGCCUUCGGGUUGUAAACCGCUUUCAGUAGGGAAGAAGCGAAAGUGACGGUACCUACAAAAGAAGCACCGGCUAACUAUGUGCCAGCAGCCGCGGUAAUACAUAGGGUGCAAGCGUUGUCCGGAAUCAUUGGGCGUAAAGAGCUCGUAGGUCGUUUGUUACGUCGGAUGUGAAAACCUGAGGCUCAACCUCAGGCCUGCAUUCGAUACGGGCAAACUAGAGUUUGGUAGGGGAGACUGGAAUUCCUGGUGUAGCGGUGGAAUGCGCAGAUAUCAGGAGGAACACCAAUGGCGAAGGCAGGUCUCUGGGCCAAUACUGACACUGAGGAGCGAAAGUCUGGGGAGCGAACAGGAUUAGAUACCCCUGGUAGUCCAGACCGUAAACGGUGGGCACUAGUUGUGGGAACCUUCCACGGUUUCUGCGACGCAGCUAACGCAUUAAGUGCCCCGCCUGGGGAGUACGAU